GUCUAUUAUGAAGUUAUUUAUAGUCUGGCCUGCUCCCUGACUAUAAGUUAAAGAGCCGCGGUAACUUGACCGUGCAAAGGUAGCAUAAUCAUUAGUUUUUUAAUUGAAAACUUGUAUGAAAGGUCUGACAAAGAAAAAGCUGUCUUUAUUAUAAAAAUUGAAUUUAACUUUUAAGUGAAAAGGCUUAAAUAAUUUAGAGGGACGAUAAGACCCUAUAAAGCUUUAUAUAAAAGUAAUUAAAAUUGAAUUUACAAUGAAAAUUUAAAUUAGUUAUAUAUAUAUUUUAUUGGGGUGAUAUUAAUAAAAGUAAUAUUAACUGUUAAAAAAAAAUACAUAAAUAAAAGAGUUGUACGUGAUUAAUGAUCCUUGUUUAAAGAUUAAAAGAUUAAGUUACUUUAGGGAUAACAGCGUAAUUUUUCUUGAGAGUUCAUAUCGAAAGAAAAGAUUUCGACCUCGAUGUUGAAUUAAGAUAUCUGUGUAAAGUAGUCAUUACAUAAGAAGGUC
rnacentral:rRNA from 1 species